GACGAACGCUGGCGGCGUGCUUAAUACAUGCAAGUCGAACGGAAAGGCCAUGCUUUUGUGGGGUGCUCGAGUGGCGAACGGGUGAGUAACACGCGAGUAACAUGCCCCUGACUUUGGGAUAACUUCAGGAAACUGGGGCUAAUACCGGAUAGGAGCUCUUGCAGCAUGGUGGGGGAUGGAAAGAUUCGGCGGUUGGGGCUGGACUCGCGGCUUAUCAGCUUGUUGGUGGGGUAGUGGCUUACCAAGGCUUUGACGGAUAGCCGACCUGAGAGAGUGGCCGGCCACAAGGGUACUAAGAGACGGCCCAGACUCCAAUGGGAGGCAGCAGUGGAGAAUAUUGCGCAAUGAGCGGGAGCCUGAGACGGCAACGCCGCGUGCGGAAUGACGUCUUUCUAGUGAUGAACCUCUGUCGCCUUAGACGUGGAGUGAGUGACGGUAAUGGGUAAAGAAGCACCGGCUAACUACGUG
rnacentral:rRNA from 1 species